AGGCUUGAAACUGAGGAGCUGAACUCCAGGUAGUAUGAUGUCCUGCCCAUGUGGCCAUUCCUUGUCCUGCGUGGAGAUGGCCAGGGACUGACUUACAAUGGCGACUGAGGGAUUAUUCUGAGAUCUAAGGUGACACCGUAAGGCUGGCACACAUGUCAGGUCCCUGAUUCCCUGGUCUGCAGACUGCUGGUGCCAAUGGAGGAAAUUUUUCUCUUCUCUUUGUGACUCAUGCCUGCCUCAAUACCAGGACCAGCGUACAGUGGUGACUCCUGCACCAAAGUCAGAGACAGAAGAACAUCCACCCAUCAAAUGUUAAUCCAGACCCACUGUGGUCUGGGACACGUUCCAUGCGGUGAAUUCAGCAGGAACAAGACACAGCCUUCUUGAAAAAAGUGAGAAAGACCCUGGUGUCUUCGUGAAAGUGAUACAGGACCUAGGAACACAAAAUCUGCAAACUGCACUUAACACAAAAGGGAAGGGGCUGAGAUGGGGAGGAACAAUUCCAAGGUCACUUGGCAAGGAGAGAGAAAAGGAAGACGAGAAAUGCUCUGGACCUGUAACAGUAAGUCUUCUGAGUGUCCUGGGACCAGCCUGCCAGGGAGGGC
rnacentral:lncRNA from 1 species